rnacentral:rRNA from 1 species
GUGAGGAAUUUUCCGCAAUGGGCGAAAGCCUGACGGAGCAAUGCCGCGUGAAGGAUGAAGGCCUACGGGUUGUAAACUUCUUUUCUCAGAAAAGAAUUAUGACGGUAUCUGAGGAAUAAGCAUCGGCUAACUCUGUGCCAGCAGCCGCGGUAAGACAGAGGAUGCAAGCGUUAUCCGGAAUGAUUGGGCGUAAAGCGUCUGUAGGUUGUUUAAAAAGUAUUCUGUCAAAGAUUAGGGCUUAACCCUAGAUAGGCAGAAUAAACUUUUAAGCUAGAGUGUGGUAGAGGCAGAGGGAAUUCCCGGUGGAGCGGUGAAAUGCGUAGAUAUCGGGAGGAACACCAAAGGCGAAGGCACUCUGCUGGGCCAAUACUAACACUGAGAGACGAAAGCGAGGGGAGCAAAUGGGAUUAGAAACCCGGGUAGUCC